GUGCUCGCUUCGGCAGCACAUAUACUGAAAUUGGAACGAUACAGACAAGAUUAGCAUGGCCCUUGCACAAGGAUGACACGCAAAUUCGUGAAGUGGUUCAUUGAAAA